UUUGGGAAUGCUGCUCAAAAUGGGAGGUAUAUGUCUUCUAAAGCUAAAUAUUGGCCAGAGACCGAUAGCGCACAAGUAGAGUGAUCGAAAGAUGAAAAGCACCUUGAAAAGAGGGUUAAACAGUACGUGAAAUUGUUGAAAGGGAAGCGCUUGUGACCAGACUUGGGCGCGGCGGA
rnacentral:rRNA from 1 species